AUUCCAUGAUGGGGACAUUCUAGGAUCUAGUCUUGGAAGCGCUCCCAUGCUUCUGGAACAGAUUCAUCAUUGUUGACGGU
rnacentral:snoRNA from 1 species